GGUAAAGAGAAUCUUGACAGCAUCUCACUUCAUCAAACAGAGCUUGAGAAAACUAUCCAUUACAGAUAAGCUUCUUUACCUUGAUGGCAGUCAUAUAGCCAAGCUUAAUGAGCAAAAUUUCAAGCAAAUACACUUUUUUUCCAAUAAUGUAAAAAUAAAACAAGAAUGCCUACACUUACUAUUACUCGUCAUAUAUCUAAGCACACAAUGUUAGAGGUGAUUCCAAGGAAUCAUCUCUCAUCUGUCCUUUCUACUGAAAUCAUCCCAAAGUAGAGAAGAUCCUUUACUUAUUUGCUUGUUUGUUUGUUUAUUACUUUUUGAGACAGGGUCUCAUUCUGUCACCCAGGCUGGUGUGCAGUGGCACAAACACAGACCACUGCAGCUUUGGCCUCUCCUGGCUCAAGUGAUCCUUCCACCUCAGCCUCUCGAGUAGCUGGUAUUACAGAGAGAAUGAUUAGCUGCUUCCCAGUGUUUAUCUCCAUGUGGAAAAUUCCAACAUCAUAGGUUGAAAUCAACUCAGGAUAUGGAGUUGUGAUCAUGUCAUCAGAUGUUAACUUUAGAGUCAAGAAAGCUUUUAAGCUAUUUACAGCUUUUAACAAUUAAGUAUGUUCCUACAAACAAAAUUUGGAGCAUAUUUGUUUCUCUCUACUGAUUUCUCCAGAAUUUGGAAACUAUUUGAAUCAAGCUUGACUUAUGGAGACAAUAAAAGUCCCUUGGAAAAACUGGCCUCAUACCUUUGUCUACAAAGCUCCUGAUCUGCUGUAGGACAUGAGACUUCACAACCUUCCAAAAAUGAGCUUUCCUAAUAACUUGGUAUGUACCUGUCUAGGAGUAAACCAACACAGCCAUGAGAGAUCAGACGAAACCUGGGACCAGAGACUCGUUUUCUUCUAAAAUGCUUUCUCCAAAAGAUUUUAAUAAAGAAAAGGGGAGAAAUGUGAGAGGAAAAUAUCUUGGGCCCCCCAAAUCACUAAGCUAAAGGAAAAAUUCAAGCUGGGAACUGCUUAGGGCAAACCUGCUUCCCAUUCUAUUCAAAGUCAUCCUUCUGCUUACUGAGAUAAAUGCAUAUCUGAUUGCCUCCUUUGGAAAGGCUAAUCAGAAACUCAAAAGAAUGCAACUGUUUUUCUCUGACCUACUUGUGACCUGGAAGCCCCCUCCCCUCUUUGAGUUGGCCCGCAUUUGCUUCAAGUUGUCUCACCUGUCUAGACCAAACCAAUGUUCAUUUUACAUAUGUUGAUUGACAUCUCAUGUCUUUCUAAAAUGUAUAAAACCAAGCUAUGCAUUCUGACCACCUUGGGCACAUGUUGUCCGGACCUCCUGGGACUCUGUCAUGGGUGUGUCCUCAACCUUGGCAAAAUAAACUUUCUAAAUUAA